GAUGAACGCUAGCGGCAGGCCUAAUACAUGCAAGUCGAACGGUGUCUUCGGACAUAGUGGCGCACGGGUGCGUAACACGUAUGCAACCUACCUUACAUUGGGGGAUAGCCUUUCGAAAGGGAGAUUAAUACCGCAUAAGACAGUAACUAGGCAUCUAGUAGCUGUUAAAGAUUUAUCGAUGUAAGCUGGGCAUGCGUCCAAUCAGCUAGUUGGUGAGGUAACGGCUCACCAAGGCAAUGAUUGGUAGGGGAACUGAGAGGUCAAUCCCCCACACUGGCACUGAGAUACGGGCCAGACUCCUACGGGAGGCAGCAGUAGGGAAUAUUGGGCAAUGGACGCAAGUCUGACCCAGCCAUGCCGCGUGCAGGAUGAAGGCGUUAUGCGUUGUAAACUGCUUUUAUACAGGAAGAAACGACUCUUGCGAGAGGCAUUGACGGUACUGUAUGAAUAUGCACCGGCUAACUCCGUGCCAGCCGCCGCGGUAACAC
rnacentral:rRNA from 1 species